CACAAAUAGAGUAAUGAAGCAAGAGAAUCAACCCAGUAUCUGAGGUAGGAAUUAGUAGCAAAGGAAGCCAAGUUAUGAAUUACCUUGUUUUCAUUGCAAGGAAAAAAAGAGCAAGAACAGUACCAACAUCUCUUAACAAACCAAAAAUAUUAAAGAGAAUAACAACAUUAGAAGCAAGAUUACAAGGAAAAAUAAGCAAAACAAUUAUCAGCUGAGCGUCACAUUCCACCUCUGCCUGCCAUUCUCAUCUCAUUAUCUCUUGCAAAAUAUGCGGUUCUCUUAAGGCGAGUGCCUCAGCAUCACUGGUGAACUAGACCCACUUAUUUGUUUUGUCAAUGCCGCAAUGAGCCUCUUCUUGGUUUAGAAUGACUCCCAAUUCCAAAUAUUCCAGCAUUGGCACAAACAGCUGCAUGUGCUCAGCUUGAGGCAGCCCGGGCAUGGUUUGUUCAAGAUGACUGGGGGUUCAAAUCAAGACCUUGUGGUCAAGGUUGGAUGCUUCCACAAUAUGGUAAGUGAGUCGAGAGCAGCCCAUCUGUAGAAUCCACAAGAUAUCCGCAUCUUUCCCCCACCAAUCCAUGCUCAAAAGAGAUCCCACCAAAUGAACCACUGCUAUGGUUAUGCAAUAAGGUCACCUCAGGAUGAAUCAUAGCAACUCCAGACCAGUCCCCAGAAACCCUUUCUUUUUACCAAACCUAUUUAGAUGAGGCACACAAGAACAACAUAUGAAUACAAUCUUCCAACCCAACUAGGAUCAUUCUUUGCAAACUGAAUUUAGAGGUAAGUGCUUCAUAGAAAUGUUCGCCAAACAAAUACUACCCCAUCCCAUUUAUAUAGGCUUAGUUUCCUUUUUCUCUUGUCUCAAAUAUAUAUGCUUGUUUCUAAAUUUAGAAUAUUUUGUUUUGUUCCUUUAUUAUUAUACCCUUAUUUAAUUUGCCUAGUUACAAUCAAUUUUCCCACUUAAUUUGCCUACUUUUUGAAAUCAUCCAAAUACAUGCACAUUUUCCAAUAAUUUGCCUACUUCUUGAAAUCAAUUUUCAAAUUCUUCACUAAUUCCAACAAUAAUUUACUACUACUUGUUAAAAAUUAAAUGGGGGUAAACUAGAAAAUUUCUUGGCAAAAAUUACUUUUUCAAUAACAUUAAAUAAGAUUUUUUAAUCCGUAUGAAAAACAAAACAAGCCUAUAUGAAUGGGACGAAUGGAGUAAUACGUAUUUUUGGUGGCACUCUAAGUUCCAGACAUCCCUCCACCAAGAUUGAAGGUACUGCCACUUGGCCCAACCAAGGUUCGCAAGCCACUAAGCAGAAAUUUAUACCCACUCCGAGCUGUAUAUUAGCCACUUGUAUCAAAGUGCCAAAUUAACUUAUCUGCUUAAUAAAUUGAUAGAAACUGAUGUGAUAAUAUCGUUGUCAAUAGGAAGAAAGUAACUAUCCAGUUGUGUUGUAUCCCAUGAACCAUUCAGUGCAAUCAAGUCCCAAACAUAGUGAAUCUACUGCCAUGACCGGGAAAUCAGACUAAAACAGACUAGUUUAGGUAACCAUGGGAUGGGUCCUCAAAAAAAUUAAUAUACUUUUUCUGUUCCCAACUCUAAACCAUAUUCCUUGUUGAAUCAAAAUUCCUUCCCACACAAACGAUGUGUUCCCCAAAGCUAGACUACCCAAGUACUUUAAGAAGCAUAUGCUGUCAUUUAAUCCAAGCCGUCCUUCUAUGAUCAGCUGAUGCCUCCCACCAGAAUUGUAAAAUGACAGAACACAAGUCAUAAUAUAGGGAUUCUGGCAUCUUGAAAAUAUUCAUAUGUAGGAAUUGCUUGUAGUACAACAACAUUUGAUUUAAGGCGACAUUUGGUGCAACUACAAGCAAGAACAAAUGGAAAUUUCUUACCCGUACCCUUUAUAAGGCUGAGUAAUGAAAACAUGCCAGAAUUAUUUCCUCAAUAGGCCUGUCAUAGUUCAAGGAUUGUACUAACUGCGGCAUGAAGAAUGAGCAUGCUGCAAAUUUAAACAACUGCUGAUCCGACAUAUGGUCACCAGUCUUACUGGUGCCAGGCACGGGACACCACUGGCCAUUGAAUCUGAAAGAGCCCCACUUCUGCCUCUAUCAAGCGGCAACAGAACCCACCUUCACAGCCACAGCAUGGAGGAGCUGCUCCUUAACCCGCAUUACAACCUUGAGAAGCCUUCUGUUGUCAAUGGUAAGCAACAUUAUUGCUGGUUUACUUUGCCAAAUUUCCAUCAUUUUGUCCUGGGGUUUUUGGAAUCCAAAGAUGCUACAAUUUUCAACAGCCUAAUAGAAUUCUUCAAUGAUUUCAUAUUUAUCUCUUGACUUUCAACCAAUCUCCUGAUACUCUGAAUUCCAAAUUCCAUAUUGGCAAAAUUUCCACAAUCUGAUGAAUACUUCUUCCUUUUCACGAAACAAGAUUAGCAAUUUUCUCUGCUUGUUUCAUGAAAAUUCUUGUCUCUUAAAUACUGGCCAAGAUAUCCAUUCAAUAUAGAAAUCACAGCUUUAGCUGCAUCAUCAAUUGCAGGCUCAUCUUUUCUUGGGAAUCCCUUCCACUAUAGACUUUA
rnacentral:lncRNA from 1 species